rnacentral:rRNA from 1 species
UAGGGAAUCUUCCACAAUGGACGCAAGUCUGAUGGAGCAACGCCGCGUGAGUGAAGAAGGCUUUCGGGUCGUAAAACUCUGUUAUUGAAGAAGAACGUGCGUGACAGUAACUGGUCAUGCAGUGACGGUAUUCAAUCAGAAAGUCACGGCUAACUACGUGCCAGCAGCCGCGGUAAUACGUAGGUGGCGAGCGUUGUCCGGAUUUAUUGGGCGUAAAGCGAGUGCAGGCGGUCUUUUAAGUCUGAUGUGAAAGCCUUCGGCUUAACCGAAGAAGGGCAUCGGAAACUG